rnacentral:rRNA from 1 species
AGGGUUUGAUCCUGGCUCAGGAUGAACGCUAGCGGCAGGCCUAACACAUGCAAGUCGAGGGGUAGUUACUUUCGGGUAAUGAGACCGGCGCACGGGUGCGUAACGCGUAUGCAAUCUACCUUUUACAGGGGAAUAGCCCAGAGAAAUUUGGAUUAAUGCCCCAUAGUAUGUAUGAAUCGCAUGGUUUAUACAUUAAAGUUCCAACGGUAAAAGAUGAGCAUGCGUCCCAUUAGUUAGUUGGUAAGGUAACGGCUUACCAAGACGAUGAUGGGUAGGGGUCCUGAGAGGGAGAUCCCCCACACUGGUACUGAGACACGGACCAGACUCCUACGGGAGGCAGCAGUGAGGAAUAUUGGACAAUGGGCGCAAGCCUGAUCCAGCCAUGCCGCGUGCAGGAAGAAGCAUCUAUGGUGUGUAAACUGCUUUUGUACGGGAAGAAACACUCCUACGUGUAGGAGCUUGACGGUACCGUAAGAAUAAGGAUCGGCUAACUCCGUGCCAGCAGCCGCGGUAAUACGGAGGAUCCAAGCGUUAUCCGGAAUCAUUGGGUUUAAAGGGUCCGU